GCGCGAAACCUUUGCAAUGCACGAAAGUGUGACAGGGGAAAUCAGCGUGCUCAUGGAAACCAUGGGCUUUUCUUUAGGGUAAAUACCUAAGGGAAUAAAGGAUGGGCAAGACCGGUGCCAGCAGCCGCGGUAACACCGGCGUCCUUAGUGGGAAUCACUUAUUAGGUCUAAAGCGCUCGUAGUUGGCUUUGUAAAUUUUUUGUGAAAUCGUGUCGCUUAACGGCACGGCGUGCAGGAAACACUGCAAAGCUUGGGACUGGGAGGCGUCAGAAGUAUUUCUUAGGGAGCGGUAAAAUGUGAUAAUCUAAGGAGGACUACCUGUGGCGAAGGCGUCUGACGAGAACAGGUUCGACAAUCAGGAGCGAAGGCUAGGGGAGCAAACCGG
rnacentral:rRNA from 1 species